rnacentral:antisense_RNA from 1 species
CUUUCUGGUGGUCGUGCGCAGGGCGCCUUCGGGUGCGCCGGGUUCCUAGUACACCGGUCUACUAACCUGCGCACGGCUGCCACCCAU